UUAAGUCGUUUCCCUCGGCCUCGAUUUGAGAAAGAGCACCAGGUUGAGGCGAUGCUGCACUGAGGCUGGACAAUGGACUGAGAAGGGUGGAACUUCCUGGCACCAGACAAGCAGGUCAAAGGGUUUUUAUCUGGCAGUUGCAUCGAAGAGGGGAAAGCGUGGGCUACGGCUGUAGUGGCGUCGUGGCUGGACACCGCUGACAGACAGGCCAAAAUAUGGCUUUCUUCUGCUGCUGAUUAAAGAAG